rnacentral:rRNA from 1 species
AUUGAACGCUGGCGGAAUGCUUUACACAUGCAAGUCGAACGGUAGAGGGGGCAACCCCUCGAGAGUGGCGAACGGGUGAGUAAUAUAUCGGAACGUGCCCAGUCGUGGGGGAUAACGUAGCGAAAGUUACGCUAAUACCGCAUACGAUCUAAGGAUGAAAGCGGGGGAUCGCAAGCCCUCGCGCGAUUGGAGCGGCCGAUAUCAGAUUAGGUAGUUGGUGGGGUAAAGGCUCACCAAGCCAACGACCUGUAGCUGGUCUGAGAGGACGACCAGCCACACUGGAACUGAGACACGGUCCAGACUCCUACGGGAGGCAGCAGUGGGGAAUUUUGGACAAUGGACGCAAGUCUGACCCAGCCAUUCCGCGUGCAGGAUGAAGGCCCUCGGGUUGUAAACUGCUUUUGUACGGAACGAAAAGGUCUCUCUUAAUACGGGGGGCUCAUGACGGUACCGUAAGAAUAAGCACCGGCUAACUACGUGCCAGCCGCCGCGGUAA